CGCGUAGGCGGAAAGUUAAGUGCUUUGUGAAUUCCCUCAGCUCAACUGAGGAACUGCAGGGCAUACUGGCUUUCUUGAGACAAGUAGGGGUGCAUGGAACUCUGGGUGGAGCGGUGAAAUGCGUAGAUAUCCAGAGGAACGCCCGUGGAGAAAUCGGUGCACUGGGCUUGUUCUGACGCUGAGGUGCGAAAGCGUGGGUAGCGAACAGGAUUAGAUACCCUGGUAGUCC
rnacentral:rRNA from 1 species